GAUGAACGCUGGCGGCGUGCCUAAUACAUGCAAGUCGAGCGAACGGACGAGAAGCUUGCUUUUUUGAUGUUAGCGGCGGACGGGUGAGUAACACGUGGAUAACCUACCUAUAAGACUGGGAUAACUUCGGGAAACCGGAGCUAAUACCGGAUAAUAUUUUGAACCGCAUGGUUCAAAAGUGAAAGAUGGUCUUGCUGUCACUUAUAGAUGGAUCCGCGCUGCAUUAGCUAGUUGGUAAGGUAACGGCUUACCAAGGCAACGAUGCAUAGCCGACCUGAGAGGGUGAUCGGCCACACUGGAACUGAGACACGGUCCAGACUCCUACGGGAGGCAGCAGUAGGGAAUCUUCCGCAAUGGGCGAAAGCCUGACGGAGCAACGCCGCGUGAGUGAUGAAGGUCUUCGGAUCGUAAAACUCUGUUAUUAGGGAAGAACAUAUGUGUAAGUAACUGUGCACGUCUUGACGGUACCUAAUCAGAAAGCCACGGCUAACUACGUG
rnacentral:rRNA from 1 species